GCCUCCUUAGCUCAGGUGGCCAGAGUGCCCGUCUCGUAAAUGGGAGGUCGUGGGUCCGAAGCCCGCAGGAGGCUC
rnacentral:tRNA from 2 species